rnacentral:tRNA from 1 species
GCUCGAUUAGCUCAGCUGGCAGAGCGUCAGUCUCAUAAUCUGAAGGUCGACGGUUCGAUCCCGCCAUCGAGCA